CUGGCCGGCAAGGCCAGUGGCAAAACUGAGCGAGACCAAGAAAGCUUUCUCUCGACGUCAAGCAGAAAUCGACAAAGAAAAGUGUUUGUGUUUGAUAAAGCGUCCUUCAUCAGCAUCUCCACACGACUGCUGUCGAUAAUGGUUAUUACGUUGGAGACAUUUGGAGAUGAGAAAGCGGACCGUGUAGUAACUUGACGUUAGCAUCACGGCUAAAAUCACAGCAAGAAAAAGGACAACGUCGACGAGAUACUUCUGGUAUAAUGGGACAUACUUUGAUGACACCUGCAAGUGUUUGGUAUUACCGUGACGUAGAACAUGUUCGAUCCAGUAGACGGCCAACUCCGUUCCCGGCACCAGUCGAUCACGCAUCAAUCCAGAUAACCUCAAGGCGUUGGCUUUAAAACUGAAAACAAAUCAGGUUUCUUUCACUCUGCUGCUAUUGGUGUGCUGCAUUCAAAUGGCUAGUUUUCGUCCGAUUGUAGAGCCGCCUCAAAAGUUUGCGCCAUCGACAGCCGACGAUGCCGGAUUCAACCCGAAUCAGCGCUCUGAAGCGGAUGACUUCAUCCGGUCGAACGGAGUAACUGGCGAAGAAAUUCAAGAGUACAACCGUCUAAGCGGAUUCAACCCUCCGGCUGGUUCUCCAACGGGAGAUGAGCGCUCUUUAGAUUUGAUAGACGCCAUCAAGUUCUGGAACUGGAACAUGUACGAUAACUUCCGUCAAUGGAUCAUUGGCCGUCGCCACACCACUACAACCUAUCGCCCUGUAGUUGUUAUCAAUCAAUUUGAUCGCCCUAGUUACACUAACGCUAAUGUUAUUCCGAACCGACACUAAAUCUGGCUGGCCAGAAUGUGUUCUUGAGGUUUAAGUUGUGUGCGCUGUUUUUUUUGUUGUUCAAUACAAACAUUGUACAUUUCUAAA